AAGAUGUUUGUGUAAAUUUCCACUCGAAUUUUCGUCGAAUUUAAUCGCUUUAUUUACACACAAUACACAAUUCACAUCUGGCUUAAAAAAUUGGCCAUUUAAAACAAAAGGUAGUUCCUUUUUUUUGAGCUUUCUUUUACGGACAUUUUUCGUCUCUUAUGGACAGUUUUGGGUUCUUUCACAAAUUGUUAGGGUAUGAUCAAAUAUGAGUGUUUGAUUUAAGCUAAUAAUAACCGAACAGCAUUUGCGUGGGAAAUUGUGAAAUUAGAAUCGAAACAUAAAUAAUUUCCUAUGGUGGAAUCAGCUUAUUAUUAUUAUUGUGGAGUUUGAUUAUUUUGUUCAAAGGAAAAUGAUCAAAAAGUCUAUUUAGUAAUAAAUAAAGCUAACACAAAUAUUUCAGUACCUUUUUACCUAGCUUACCUAAUUCUCUAGGUAUACAAAAAUUUGUACCUAGGUAAGGUAAAAGGUAGCAUAAUAUUUGUAUACCUAGGUAAGGUAAAAGAUACCACAAAAUGGUACCUAGGUAUGUACCUAGGUACAAGUAUCGAAUGAAUUGAAUGUUGAUGCUAUGACUUUGAAAAAAAAAUGGAAACAAUUGAGGGACACGUUUCGAGCUGAAUUAAGGAAAUGUCCACCGAACCGUUCUGGCGACGCUGGCCCUGAUGCAGUCAACGAGAUGUGUUCUCAAUGGAGUCAUUUCGAGUCCAUGAUGCUUAUAAAGGACCAGAUAAAGUGUCGCCAGUCUUCCGGAAAUUUAUGUUGCUAAAAAAACAAUGAAGUACAAGAUAAUAUUGGCGAAGAUGUUAAUAGUGUAGAUAUUGAGGUGCCGCAAUAUGAGGAAGAAAGCGACAUAAGUACGUUUGAAGUGCAAACGUCCACCCCACAUCAUCCUCCUAGAAAUCUUAAACGGCGUCAUAAUAACAUAGAAGGUGAAAUGCUCAACAUCGAAAAAAAGAAGUUGGAGCUGUUAGAACAGAAAACAAAAAACAAGAUUCCAGCCGACGAUGAAGACAUGGCUUUUUUUGAGAGCCUAUUGCCACACGUUAAAAAAAUGGAUCCGCAAACGAAGCUUUUGUGCAGAAUGGAAAUGCAAAAAGCAGUCUAUAAUCAUGCGUACAACAUGGGGCGCUCUUUUAAUUUACAAAAUAUUCAGAUAUCUGUACCAUCACCGACUCUACAGGAAUCUUCAUCAAAUCAAUAUUCUGAUAAUGCUUUAUCCCCACAGGAACCAAGCACUUUUGUUAAAUCAGGAAAUAUUAUUACAUUCUCAAAUUAAGUUAAGACAGUGAAUAAACAAGUAAUUAAAUGAAAAGUUAAAAUCAAUAAAAUUAAUAAAACUAAAUAUA